rnacentral:rRNA from 1 species
CAGGCUUAACACAUGCAAGUCGAGGGGCAGCAUGGUCUUAGCUUGCUAAGGCCGAUGGCGACCGGCGCACGGGUGAGUAACACGUAUCCAACCUGCCGUCUACUCUUGGACAGCCUUCUGAAAGGAAGAUUAAUACAAGAUGGCAUCAUGAGUCCGCAUGUUCACAUGAUUAAAGGUAUUCCGGUAGACGAUGGGGAUGCGUUCCAUUAGAUAGUAGGCGGGGUAACGGCCCACCUAGUCUUCGAUGGAUAGGGGUUCUGAGAGGAAGGUCCCCCACAUUGGAACUGAGACACGGUCCAAACUCCUACGGGAGGCAGCAGUGAGGAAUAUUGGUCAAUGGGCGAGAGCCUGAACCAGCCAAGUAGCGUGAAGGAUGACUGCCCUAUGGGUUGUAAACUUCUUUUAUAAAGGAAUAAAGUCGGGUAUGCAUACCCGUUUGCAUGUACUUUAUGAAUAAGGAUCGGCUAACUCCGUGCCAGCAGCCGCGGUAAUACGGAGGAUCCGAGCGUUAUCCGGAUUUAUUGGGUUUAAAGGGAGCGUAGAUGGAUGUUUAAGUCAGUUGUGAAAGUUUGCGGCUCAACCGUAAAAUUGCAGUUGAUACUGGAUAUCUUGAGUGCAGUUGAGGCAGGCGGAAUUCGUGGUGUAGCGGUGAAAUGCUUAGAUAUCACGAAGAACUCCGAUUGCGAAGGCAGCCUGCUAAGCUGCAACUGACAUUGAGGCUCGAAAGUGUGGGUAUCAAACAGGAUUAGAUACCCUGGUAGUCCACACGGUAAACGAUGAAUACUCGCUGUUUGCGAUAUACUGCAAGCGGCCAAGCGAAAGCGUUAAGUAUUCCACCUGGGGAGUACGCCGGCAACGGUGAAACUCAAAGGAAUUGACGGGGGCCCGCACAAGCGGAGGAACAUGUGGUUUAAUUCGAUGAUACGCGAGGAACCUUACCCGGGCUUAAAUUGCAGAUGAAUUACGGUGAAAGCCGUAAGCCGCAAGGCAUCUGUGAAGGUGCUGCAUGGUUGUCGUCAGCUCGUGCCGCGAGGUGUCGGCUUAAGUGCCAUAACGAGCGCAACCCUUGUUGUCAGUUACUAACAGGUUCCGCUGAGGACUCUGACAAGACUGCCAUCGUAAGAUGUGAGGAAGGUGGGGAUGACGUCAAAUCAGCACGGCCCUUACGUCCGGGGCUACACACGUGUUACAAUGGGGGGUACAGAGGGCCGCUACCACGCGAGUGGAUGCCAAUCCCCAAAACCUCUCUCAGUUCGGACUGGAGUCUGCAACCCGACUCCACGAAGCUGGAUUCGCUAGUAAUCGCGCAUCAGCCACGGCGCGGUGAAUACGUUCCCGGGCCUUGUACACACCGCCCGUCAAGCCAUGGGAGCCGGGGGUACCUGAAGUGCGUAACCGCGAGGAGCGCCCUAGGGUAAAACUGGUGACUGGGGC